UUUUUUGUCUCUGUGGGAGCAGGUUCGUGAAUUAAGAGGGCGGCGCUUCAGUUGUGUCCUCUUCACAUCCUUCUCCUUCACGAGGCAUUCAUUUCGCCUCGUUCCCCAUUCUCCUCUUCGUCAGUUGCUCCUGGAGGCGACGGCGACUUCUGGAGAGCUACAAGAAGAGAGAGACGCAUUGGAGUGAGUUGCAUCUGUUGUUCUCCCCUUUCUUCUCUUCUUUCUUCGUGUAUGUGGUUUGCUCACAUAUCUAGUAUCUAGUUUAUGGGUUGUUUUUGUGUGUUAAUCGAUCUAGGGUUCGUGCUUCCAAUGCCUCUAUGAGUUUGUUUGUUUUUUGUUUGUGUGUCCAUCGAUUUUAGGAAAGGUUUUUUGCCCGCUCGCAAUCCCCCUGAUUGUUAGAAGCACGAGGCUCCUUUUUUCUGUCUGUGUUUUUCGAUCUAUCUAGUGGUGGGUGGAGCUGCUGGUGAGGUGGGGAUUUCGGGUGUAGAUAAGGAUUGAUAAAGAAUUGAGUGUGUCACUGCUCAUUUUUGUAUAGAUUAUAGCCUCUUUUUUUGGUAGGUGGGGGUGUUUAUUUCAGUGUUAGGGUUUGAUGGAUGGAGCAGAUUUUUGUUCAAUCUCUCUGAUAGACUCACCGAGGAUUCAGAAAGAUUUUUUCAGUGCCAUGUGGUGUGUAGUUUGUUUAAUGGGGCCGAUUUUACAUGCUCUGCUAAAUUCCCAGUAGAUACAGAUUCAGAAACAUUAAUGUUCAGAAAGAUUCAGUGUUGUGAUUCAGAUUUUAUAUGCUCUGCUAAAUUCACAGUAGAUACAGAUUCAGAAAGAUAAAUGUUCAGAAAGAUUCAGUGUUGUGAUUCAGAUUUUAUAUGAUCUGCUAGAUUUUUGUGAGCAUGUGGUCUACUUGUUGCAGGUUGAACUCAACUUUUCUAAGAGUUGUGAAUCAACUUUUUUUAUAUGCAAACAACUGAAUAUAAAUAGAGAAGCAACUCAGAGAUGAAUCAGCAUAGACCAUGUGUUUUUUGUUCAGGUUGAUUUUUUUGGAUUAGUGUUUUUUUGCUAGACUCAGUGGCAGAUUUGUACAUUUGUUUUAUGUUUUAGCAGUAUAUAGUUGAUAUCUGUAUUAGUUUUAGUAUGUAUGUUUUGACAGAGCUAGUUUUGAUUUAUAUCAGUCAAUGUUUUCAUUCUUUCUUUCUUUUUUCAGUCAUUUGUUUUUGUGACAUUUGUUUGUUUCUUUAUGUCAGGUGGCGGCGAUUGUUUGGGAGCGAGAAGGGGAGGGGGAGGAGAGGAGCAGCCAAAUAUGUGGCGUUUUCCCAUGAUUUAUGUGUUUUUUUAUUUCUUCCCAUUUUAGAUUUAGUAAAAUGUCAUCUGUGUUUAUUUUAUGCGUAUAGGUUAAAGUAGUGUGCACUGGUGGUAUUAAAUUAGUGUGUUAGUCACCGAAUGGUUUUCCGAGCAAGCAAUUUUCUACUUGUCGUGUAUUUGAGGAAGAGAGAUAUGACCCACCCCUGGUUUUGUAUUUUUGAAUGUUGGGGUUGAUGCUAUGUACAUAUAUGUAUGCAUUUUUUGAUUGAAUCAUGGGCUGCAUUAAAACUGAAGAGUUGAGAUUGAAUUUGAAUUGUACUUUUUCUCAUAGCAGACUAUGCAUGCCUUAGUGUAGACGUGAAGAUAAAUUUCUACAGAUUUGCUAUUUUCACAUCUAGAUGUAACUAUCUCACAUCUAAGUCCAGAGCCAUUGGAUUUAUUUUGUCUUUAGAUUCGCGCAAAUCGUCUUUUUGUCUCCGCUAGUACAUUCUGUCGGGUUCGCUCGUGUUUUGUGGUCUGUUGUGCGGCCCGUAGUCGAUGCUAGCAGCGGGCCGGGGGCGGGUUUGUGGUGUUUGUUGAGCUAACGGGCCGUGUUUGUCCAUCUCAGAGCAGUUUUGAAGAGGAGGGGGCGACCAUUCUUUUUUCCCAUCGCACUAGUUUCCCCCGUU
rnacentral:lncRNA from 1 species